CUCUGGGUACUUCGCACCCCCCCUGUGUGGCGGCCUGGCCGUGUUCCUUUUCCGGCCACCGGCGGAAAUGCUCGCGCUCCCGCCGUCCCGGCGGCGCACGCCAGGUGGCACCGGCUAGCUCCUCCGCGCCCAAGCCCAUCCUCCUCCACAUCCCAUCCAACCGACUUCCGACGCCGCCCCUCGGCUGAGAGCCGCUCCAUCCUGCGAGUGCGAGAGCCGACUCCGCCGCGAGCAUCUCCGCUGCUGCCCCGCAGAUACGCCGCUCGCUCACUGAACUCAAGGCCCUGCAGGCAGCGACGCGCUGCUCUCUUUGGUGCUCCGGCCUCCUGCUGUGCGGGCUCGCGGACGAAAAUGAAGUCGUGUCAAGGUCGCCAAAUUUCGCAGCGGUUACUCGUGAACCUGCUGCCUCCAUCGACGCCGACAUGCACCGAAAUUCCAGUGCCGUUGAUCUCAAAUUUUGUAACUCUGCGCUGAGUGAGAAUGCUGCACACUGGAGGGAUCAUUGGCCGGUUUCUCACUGGCUUCUGCAUUACUCUCACUCAACUUGAUUCAAGGGUACGGGUGAUGCUGGUUCCACUACUUGAUUUAAAGGCUGCGGCCUGCGGGUGUUGCUGAUCCCAGAACUUACAGUGCAUUGUACAGGUAAUUCCAGAACUUGUGCAUAAGUAGUUAUGCAUUUUGCUAUGGUAAAUUAGGAGAAGGUUUUUUUAAUGAGAAAUUCAUUUAGGACCUAUGUUUCCUUUUCUCAUACUGUUAUACAUGUCAAAUUUGUUCGAGGAAACAUUUCUACCCUGUAAAUGGUAAGAUAUGUCCGCAUAAGUUUAAAUGAUUAUCGGCCAUUGAGGAACAUUUGGUAACCUAUUCUGAAAAAAUAAUAUUGGCUGAGCAUACUGGAAA